CUUUGGGUGUGACUGCGUACCUUUUGUAUAAUGGGUCAGCGACUUAUAUUCUGUAGCAAGGUUAACCGAAUAGGGGAGCCGGAGGGAAACCGAGUCUUAACCGGGCGUUAAGUUGCAGGGUAUAGACCCGAAACCCGGUGAUCUAGCCAUGGGCAGGUUGAAGGUUGGGUAACACUAACUGGAGGACCGAACCGACUAAUGUUGAAAAAUUAGCGGAUGACCUGUGGCUGGGGGUGAAAGGCCAAUCAAACCGGGAGAUAGCUGGUUCUCCCCGAAAGCUAUUUAGGUAGCGCCUCGUGAAUUCAUCUCCGGGGGUAGAGCACUGUUUCGGCUAGGGGGCCAUCCCGGCUUACCAACCCGAUGCAAACUGCGAAUACCGGAGAAUGUUAUCACGGGAGACACACGGCGGGUGCUAACGUCCGUCGUGAAGAGGGAAACAACCCAGACCGCCAGCUAAGGUCCCAAAGUCAUGGUUAAGUGGGAAACGAUGUGGGAAGGCCCAGACAGCCAGGAUGUUGGCUUAGAAGCAGCCAUCAUUUAAAGAAAGCGUAAUAGCUCACUGGUCGAGUCGGCCUGCGCGGAAGAUGUAACGGGGCUAAACCAUGCACCGAAGCUGCGGCAGCGACACUGUGUGUUGUUGGGUAGGGGAGCGUUCUGUAAGCCUGCGAAGGUGGCCUGUGAGGGUUGCUGGAGGUAUCAGAAGUGCGAAUGCUGACAUAAGUAACGAUAAAGCGGGUGAAAAGCCCGCUCGCCGGAAGACCAAGGGUUCCUGUCCAACGUUAAUC
rnacentral:rRNA from 1 species